GUAGGUGAACCUGCGGAAGGAUCAUUACAGAGUUCAUGCCCUUACGGGUAGAUCUCCCACCCUUGAAUACUAUACCUCUGUUGCUUUGGCGGGCCGCCUCGGCUACCGGCUUCGGCUGGUGAGUGCCCGCCAGAGGACCCUAAACUCUGAAUGUUAUUGUCGUCUGAGUACUAUAUAAUAGUUAAAACUUUCAACAACGGAUCUCUUGGUUCUG
rnacentral:misc_RNA from 1 species